rnacentral:rRNA from 1 species
AUACGGAGGGUACGAGCGUUGUUCGGAAUUACUGGGCGUAAAGCGCGUGUAGGCGGCCGUAAAAGUCGGGUGUGAAAUCCCGGGGCUCAACCCCGGAACUGCACCCGAAACUAUAUGGCUAGAGUCCCGGAGGGGGUGGCGGAAUUUCCGGUGUAGAGGUGAAAUUCGUAGAUAUCGGAAGGAACACCAGUGGCGAAGGCGGCCACCUGGACGGUGACUGACGCUGAGAUGCGAAAGCGUGGGGAGCAAACAGGAUUAGAUACCCCGGUAGUCC